UAGAAGUCCACCCCCACCUCCAUCAGUUAAAAGUUCGUCACAACCAACGUCACAAAUGCCUAAGGCAGCAGGAGGAGGUGGAGGUGGAGGCGGAGGACCACUGGGUGCUUUCUGGUCUACUCAACAUGCCAGUGACACAGUCAACGAGGAUACAAACAGAAUUAGGUUUGAUGAAGAAUCGACUUCUCGUAGUACGUCAAAACAUGAUCGGAUUAAUCCAAAUAAUCAUUCUACGCACAAGAAUGCUAGUCCUGGGGAUGUAAACCAAAAGCCAAACAAGACAGUUACAGAUGGUGGUUCAUUCAGAGACUUCGAAUUAUCAUUUUUCCAGAAUGAAACAGAACAUGGGUCCGGUGGAUCAAAAGCAUCAAAAACUGAGAGUGCGACUUUCCAGGACAAAGCUUUUAACAAUUUUGUUGCUGAGUUUGAUACCAACAAAUUCACUUCUGAUGCCACUAACAACAGACCAGGAAAGGGAGUAGCAUUAGAGGCUGAGGUGGAGAAGUUGAAGGAGCAACUGAA
rnacentral:misc_RNA from 1 species